GACGUGCCUCACUCAGGAUGAGCUGGACAUUCUGGUUGGGAACCUGCCUGAGAUGGUGCAGUUCCAGGUGGAAUUCCUUAAGACUCUAGAAGACGCACCAGAUUGGUUCCAGACCUGGAGAAGCUGGAGAGUGUGGACCAGUUCAAGAAAAUCCUCUUCUCUCUAGAGGGUCCUUACCUGUACUAUGCA